AGAGUUUGAUCCUGGCUCAGGAUUAACGCUGGCGGUAUGCCUAACACAUGCAAGUCGAGCGGACCUUCGGGUUAGCGGCGAACGGGUGAGUAUUACAUUGGUACCUGCCCCAAAGUAGGACAUAGCCCACCGAAAGGUGGGGUAAUUUCCUAUAGUCUUAGCAAUAAGUAAAGCAUUUAUGCGCUCCGGGAGGGACCUUCGUCCUAUCAGCUAGUUGGUGAGGUAACGGCCCACCAAGGCGACGACGGGUAGCUGGAUCGAGAGGUUGACCAGCCACACUGGGACUGAGACACGGCCCAGACUCCUACGGGAGGCAGCAGUGAGGAAUUUUCCACAAUGGGCGAAAGCCUGAUGGAGCGAUACCGCGUGGAGGAUGACGGCCUUCGGGUUGUAAACUCCUUUUAAAUAGGAAGAUUAUGACGGUACUAUUUGAAUAAGCAUCGGCUAACUACGUGCCAGCAGCCGCGGUAAUACGUAGGAUGCAAGCGUUAUCCGGAAUUAUUGGGCGUAAAGAGUUUGUAGGUGGCGUGUUAAGUUAAAUGUUAAAUCUGUGGGCUCAACUCACGGGCUGCAUUUAAUACUGGCAUGCUUGAGGUUGGAAGAGGUAAGCGGAAUUAGUAGUGUAGCAGUGAAAUGCGUAGAUAUUACUAGGAACACCAAUGGCGAAGGCAGCUUACUGGGCCACUCCUGACACUGAGACACGAAAGCGUGGGGGAGCGAACAGGAUUAGAUACCCUGGUAGUCCACGCCGUAAACGAUGAUCACUAGCUGUUCGAGGUGUCGACCCCUUGAGUAGCGAAGCUAACGCGUUAAGUGAUCCGCCUGGGGAGUACGGUCGCAAGACUAAAACUCAAAGGAAUUGACGGGGACCCGCACAAGCGGUGGAACGUGUGGUUUAAUUCGAAGCUAAACGAAAAACCUUACCGAGACUUGACAUCUCUGGAAGUCUUAAGAGACUAAGCCGUGCCGAAAGGAACCAGAUGACAGGUGCUGCAUGGCUGCCGUCAGCUCGUGUUGUGAAAUGUUCGGUUAAGUCCGUCAACGAGCGCAACCCUCAUCGUAUGUUGUACUUUUCAUGCGAGACUGCCCUGGUCAACAGGGAGAAAGGUGGGGAUGACGUCAAGUCAGCAUGGCUCUUACGUCUCGGGCUACACACGCGUUACAAUGGCCGGUACAAUGGGCUGCCAACCCGCAAGGGGGAGCUAAUCCCAACAAAACCGGUCCCAGUUCGGAUUGAGGGCUGCAAUUCGCCCUCAUGAAGUCGGAAUCGCUAGUAAACGUGAAUCAGCAUGUCACGUUGAAUUCGUUCCCGGGUCUUGUACACACCGCCCGUCACACCACGAAAGUUAGAGACAUCCGAAGUGCACUUAUGCGUCCUAAGGUGGAGCUAGCGAUUGGGGUGAAGUCGUAACAAGGUAACC
rnacentral:rRNA from 1 species